GUUGAAGCCUUCUACCUCCAUUGCUGGCGAACCUAGUUUUAUAUUUCUAUUCUAUUAUCCUUUGUCGGUGGCCUCAUCAUCCUUGAAGUGUUCUCCAAUAGGUGAAUCAAAUUUUGAUUCAACGGCGACGAGCAGGAGAAGGAUUUCUUUAGUCAGGCAAGUUAAAGUGGAGACAGAGUAUGAAGGGCCGAAAAGGUUCUGUCACUGUGGUGCAUUGGCUCCUAGAUGGACAGCUUGGAGUGAGAAGAACCCUGGUAGAAGAUUUUAUGGGUGCCGAAAAUACAACCAGGUAUAUUCAAAUUUGCAAAAGAUAUUGAUGAUGACUUGUUGAACCUGCCAGGGAGGAGGAUGUGGUUAUUUUAGCUGGCAUGAUAAUGAAAUGGGUCAGAGAUCAAUUGAAGUGAUCUCUGAGUUAUUAAGUCACAUAGACUCACUGUAUGGUGAGAAUUUGAGGCUGAAAAGAAGACUUGAGGGUGAAGGGUUAGGUGCAGAGAUGUGCUGAAUAUACCAAGAAUUAAACAAGAUGGAGAGAAGGCAUGCCAAGUUUGUAGCUGCAGCUGAAAGUGGGAGAAAGAAGAUGAAAAUAUUGCAACUUGCUUUGUUGUUGUCUUGGUUUUGUUUUAUUUAUUUAUUCCUUUCAAGGUAGUCAUGAUGGGAAUGUAAAUUUGUGUUAUGUGAUGGAACAAGCACUGAACCAUGAUAUUGUCCUAAUGUGUUUGAAUGGAACAAAUGCUUCAUUUUGUUAGGUUCAUUAUUACUUUA